UACGAAGGGGGCUGGCGUUGUUCGGAAUUACUGGGCGUAAAGCGCGUGUAGGCGGGCCGUUAAGUCGGGGGUGAAAGCCCAGAGCUCAACUCUGGAAUUGCCUUCGAUACUGGCGGCCUGGAGCAUGAUAGAGGCGAGUGGAAUUGCGAGUGUAGAGGUGAAAUUCGUAGAUAUUCGCAGGAACACCAGUGGCGAAGGCGACUCGCUGGAUCAUUGCUGACGCUGAGACGCGAAAGCGUGGGGAGUAAACAGG
rnacentral:rRNA from 1 species